CCACGAAAAGUCUGUCUGCCAAGUUCACGCUAACGCUUUUUUAAAAGAAGGUGAUGCUCUCAGGCUUCACGCAGUCAUGCAGACCGUACCGCAAUCCCUGACUACGUUUUGGAACUUCGGGGAAAUUGUGUUCAUUUCGCGUCAAUCCAGGGCUUCCCAUAGUCCUGUGAAGCCGAGAGAGCUAAACUGCCGAGGGGCAUAUUGCACUGCGCAAAUUGAGCACUGCACAAGAUAAGAAGAAAGAGUGAGAGCGUCGGCAGGCUUCGCACCCACGAUGGUACUUAUAUUGAAGCAGAUUUCAGCGGCGAUAGUGGUCUGUUAUUUCAGCCAAGUGCUUGCAGAAGCAGGACGGGUGAAAAGGCUGCCAAAUUGUCCGAUGUCUUGCGAUAAUGUUGUUUGCGAGCCCGUCGACGCGUCCAGAUGCACCGGAAAUAAGAUGUUGCGGCACAACGCCGGACCAUGCCAGUGCUGCGACCGGUGCGUCAUACAACUACGGAACGGUGAAUUAUGUAAGGAUGCCUUCCUGUGGGGUGACGAGGCGCCGCUGGCCGAGUGCGUACAGGGCCACCGUUGCGACCCGACCACUGGCAAGUGCACCCCGGAGUCACAGAUAAACUGGUUUCCCUUCGACAACUGACGUGCACCGAGGAAUGGAAAUCAAGUGCAGAAAUCAACGAGUAAAUUCUUUCCCAACUUUGUCGUUCGUUAUUUCCAUUCAUUCUAAUUAAAACAAGUUCCAAAUAUAA